UUUUCUGUAUUUUACAACAUUUCGUAACCAAAUUUUGCAAUUUUAAUUUUGCAAUUUUAAUUUUGCAAGUUCGUUACGGGAAUUUACUUUCUUUUGCCUAAAUCAAUAAUUAGUCUAACAUGCAAGUUGUCUAUUAACAUGUGUUGAAAUCAGAUUUUAUUGCAAGUUGCUGCAAUUUUGUUGCUCGUAUUACUUUACCUUUAAAUUUUCGUUAUUUUAGACCGUUUAUUUAUUCCCUAAAAGUAGGCCAAAUAUCUCCAAAAAUUUCAGGUUAAUCUUUUAAGUUUUCUCUCAUUUCUAGCAAUUUUCUUAUUUUCUAAAAAUAGGCCAAAAAAGUAAAGGCUAACCCCUUCAAUUUUCGUAGGCCGUAAAUGUUGAAAAUAGGACAAAAAACGCCAAUAACUUAAGGCAGGGAUGGAUUUACUGGGGGAGUGCAGGGGGGUGCGCACCCUCCUAGCCCUGGCCAGGGUGUGUGUGUGUAGGGGUGUGUGCUAUUUUUCAUGAUAAAGAAAAAAAUUAUCAGAGACAAAAUGAGAUUUAGUAAUUUGAGUUAUAACAUGAUGAUAAGCGAACUGUGAACAACAAUUACAAUUCAAAUACUGUAGUCAAGCAAGACUUUGCAGUAGUGAAUCAAGUUGAUGGACGUGUAAAGUCCCUGGAAAGCAAUUGCAACGUACUCUUCCGGAAAAUUUUUGUUCCCUAAAAAGUUGUCGAUUGGGGGGGAGAGGUUAUUGCUCUCCGAAAAUUUUUUUUUGGCAGAGCAACCCCCCCUACCAGAUCAUGCUGUAUCCAUCCCUCACUUAAGGUUACUUUUAGACCGCUUUUUGAAAGAUAGGCAAAGAAAGUAAGGAUUAGUCUUUUCUUAUAAGUUUUCGUAAGAGUACAGUUACGAUUUCUGAAAAAUGAUAAAAAGAUUGGCAUAAAAGUUGAAAAAGGGGGGAAAUGGGGAAAAAGGAAAGUUUCGCCCAUGUUUUAACACUUAAAGUAAAGCUGCAUGAGCCUUCAAUUUUUAUCAAGAAAAUAUUAAGGACUUUACUUUUUCAUCAAUAUUUGCGUGCCAAAAAGUAAAGGCUCAGACCUUUAAUUUUUGGCAACUAAAUUUUUUUAAGUAUAAUUUGGUGAUGAGAGAUUAUGUAGAAAUAAAUAUAGUUGCCAGCACUGAAUAGAUCUAUACUAGUCGAGUGGUCGUCUCUUGGUGUUGCAUGCGGGAGAACUAAGGAUCUAUCCCUGUUGUUGUCCAAACCAUUUUAAUCUCAGGUGUUGUUGUUAAUUAAUUCCACCCGAGACGAGAAAGAGUUAAGUAGAAUAAAAAAGAAGUUAAAGCACGUGUAGGCAAGAUGGUCUAGUGGUAAGGACAAAUUGUUGCAAGUGCGUGAAGCCAGGUUCAAGUCGUG
rnacentral:lncRNA from 1 species